rnacentral:rRNA from 1 species
CCUACGGGAGGCAGCAGUGAGGAAUAUUGGUCAAUGGGCUUACGCCUGAACCAGCCAAGUCGCGUGAGGGAAGACUGCCCUAUGGGUUGUAAACUUCUUUUGUCAGGGAGUAACGCCGGCCACGUGUACCUGGUCUGAGAGUACCUGUAGAAAAAGCAUCGGCAAACUCCGUGCCAGAAGCCGCGGUAAUACGGAGGAUGCGAGCGUUAUCCAGAUUUAUUGGGUUUAAGGGGUGCGUAAGCGGAAUGCCAAGUCAGCGGUAAAAUCGGGGGGCUCAACCUCGCACCGCAGUUGAAACUGGCGUUCUUGAGUGGACGUGAGGUAUGCGGAAUGCGUGGUGUAGCGGUGAAAUGCAUAGAUAUCACGCAGAACUCCGAUUGCGAAGGCAGCAUACCGGCGCCCAACUGACGCUGAAGCACGAAAGCGUGGGUAUCGAACAGGAUUAGAUACCCGAGUAGUC